ensembl:snRNA U5 U5 spliceosomal RNA
AUACUCUGGUUUCUCUUCAGAUCGUAUAAAUCUUUCGCCUUUUACUAAAGAUUUCCACGGAUAGGAUCAAUUCUGAGUCUUUACAGCAUGCCCCACAUCCAGGACUUGGGGUGGGUGGGAAACCGGGUGGGGCU